GAAGCCUCGGAGGUGGAGAGCAGUCAAGCUCCCUGUUGAGCCUGAGGCACAGGCUUCAUGGAAAGCCCAGCAGAACAGCGCUGUAGAACCCUUGUGAGCAGGGAGUUGACUGGGAGGAGUGGAGCACUGAAGAGCUGGGUUCCUGCCCCCCUCUCCUGAGCAGGAGGACAUUGAUUUUACUAGGAUGGUGUUCCAGGUCCUGUUGAGGGUAAGACGAUGAAGGCAGAAGGUAACAGGUUGCCGAUGCUGUGGGAAGAGAGGAAGGCUGUGGUCAGCUUCGCAAACAGAAGGCCGGAGGCACGGGGCACUUAUUCAACUUUUGGCUUCAAAAGGAACUUUUGGUGACUGCCACUAGGACAUGAAGAAAGGGUUAUGGGUCUGGGGUCGUUCAGAGACUCACCAGUCUGACCAGUAAUAAAUUUUAACAAGGAAGAGGCUUUUCUUCAGAUACUACCUCCAGGUCUAUAUUGGCAAUUUUGGAUUCCCUAAUGCUGCCACCCUAAUGCCGAGCCACCUCAGUCAGGGGUUUAUAAAGGCAAAGAAUACAACCUUACGAUUUGUUCUAGUGCAAGCAGAGGGUCCUCUGGAGCAAAACAAGCUUGUUUAUAGAAGCCGAAACAGUAGUAAACAAAACAAAACUAAGCCUUAACAGUCCUUAACAUGUGGAGGUCUAAUUUCGCUUUAUAGUUUUCUUAAGCACAGACGUUUUAAACUUUUAAACAUAAAGUUAGCAGUCAUCAUAAUGUUAGCCUUCACAAAAGUCAGACUGAGUCACACAGUAGAGCUGACCAAAGUGAAAGAACCCUGUUAGUCCCGGGUUACACCAGCGCAGACCUUGGCGGGGGACCUGACCCUGUAACCACCUCCUCCUGGGGGAGGGCCAGUCCUGUAGGGAAGAGGAACUGGUUUGUACCAUAGAGGGCGUGGUUUGUUUUUUUGUUUUGUUUUUGAGAGAGGGACUUGGUCUAGGCUGACCCAACUUUUCAAUUUCCCUGCUUCCACCUCCUAACUGGGGUAAUGAUAGAAGUGUAUCACCACAGCAAUCGAAGAGAGUUUUACAGUUGAAAGGGAGGGGAGGGCUUCAAGGUUAUGCAGGAGCCUAAAUUCAGCCAGUCAAAGGUGGACUGUGGUGAGCAUGGGGUUCCAUGUAGGAAGUGGGGUGUUGGAUUAUGAGAUGCAUGUGUAGGGAAAAAGGUCCAAGCUCACUUCAGGAUCCGAAAACUCACCAAACCCCACCAAUCCCUGAGCUCAAGAUUUCACCAAUCCCCUUUCCGGAAAACUCCACCCCCAAGAAACCCUGUAUAAAGCUUGCCUCGGGCUCUGUUCCCUGCUGCUCCUCCACCACCGAGAGGCAGCUACCCUCUUGUAUCUCUCCCAAUAAAUCUCUUGUGUGA